GACAGAGGGUGCAAACGUUGUUCGGAAUUACUGGGCGUAAAGCGCGCGUAGGCGGGUCUGUAAGUCGAUUGUGAAAUACCUGGGCUUAACCCGGGAAUGGCAGUCGAAACUGCAGAUCUUGAAUGUCUGAGAGGAUGGCGGAAUAACCGUGUAGUAGUGAAAUACGUAGAUAUCGGUUAGAACACCUGAGGCGAAGGCGGCUAUCUGGCGGUACAUUGACGCUGAUGCGCGAAAGCGUGGGGAGCAAACAGG
rnacentral:rRNA from 1 species